GGGUUGCCAUGGGACUGUCAAGGUUCCUUGACAGAUGGACACAAGGCCUGCAAAGUGGCCCUUUCCACACAGCCUUCAAGCCUAGAUGAAGUGAUAGUACCUUGCUGUGGGUCAUUGUGCUCUCCCUGGCAGUUCCUUACAUACUCCCUGAACCACUGUAAAUAGUCCUUCUAUUAAACUCUUCUGAGAUUACCCAAUUGGAGUGCACCGUUUGAUAGAGUAGCCAGUAACAGCCCUAGCAGAGCAGUAGCAGUUGCAGUUAUUUUGAGUAUGAGAUUAAGCAUUAAAUGAAUUGUAAGAUAUGCAAAAUACAUAAUUAAGUAGGAAUAAAUUCUCCCACCUGCAGAAGGCAGCUGAAAUACUUCAGCUACAGACCAUCCCACAUGUCUUAGACCUUUUUAUAACAUCCCUGAGGAAUAGCUCUCUCUUUGAAGAAUAUUCUCUUAUUAGGGUUGCCACAUUUAGAAAACAAUGACAAAAACAAACAGGAAGCCCAGUUAAAUUUGAAUUUCAGAUAAACAAGAAAUAGUUGGUUUUUUUCUUUUUUCUUUUUUUGAGACAGGGUCUCACUCUGUUGCCCAGGCUGGAGUGCAAAGGUGUGAUCUCAGCUCACCGCAGCCUCCACCUCCCAUGUUCAAGCAAUUCUCCUGCCUCAGCCUCCCAGGUAGCUGGGACGACAGGCACACGCCACCACACCCGGCUGAUUUUUUGUAUUUUUAGUAGAGAUGGGGUUUCACUGUGUUAGCCAGGAUGGUAUCAAUCUCCUGACCCCUUGAUCCGCCCACCUCGGCCUCCUAAAGUGCUGGGAUUACAGGCGUGAGCCACUGUGCCCAGCAAUAAAUUGCUUUUUAAAUGCAUGUCACAAAUAUCAAUGCUGUUUAUCUGAAGUGUGUUCAUUGUUUAUCUGAAAUUCAAGUUUAACUAAGUAUCCUGUGAUUUAUUUGGCAACCCUACCUGUCAUAGGAAGAUUUGGACCCUUUCAUUAGUUAUUUCUUAAAUACAUACUUAAGAACACACUUGCCUUUACACUGGAUGGGAAAGUCAGGCUUCAUGAUUGACCAGUAUUUCCCCAUGGAAAAAUAUGUUCCAUAUCAACCUGAGUUCAUAAGUGAUGAGUAUGGAGAAGCCAACCUCUGGGUCACAUUCUAUUCAAGACACAUUGGCCAGGAGUGGUGGCUCAUGCCUAUAAUGCCAGCACUUUGGAAGGGCAAGACAGGAGGACUACUUGAGGGCAGGAAUUCAAGAGCAGCCUGGGCAACAUAACAAGACUCCAUGUCUAAAAAAAAUGUUUUUUAAUUAGUUGGGUGUGGUGCCACAUGCCUGUAGUUCUAGCUACUAGGAAGGCUGAAGCAGGAGGAUUGCUUAAGCCCAAAAAUUCAAGGCUGCAGUGAGCCAUGACAGAGUCACUGCACUCCAGCCUGGGCAACAGAGCCAGACACUGUCUCUAUUUAAAAAAAAAAAACAAAAAAAAAAA
rnacentral:lncRNA from 1 species